rnacentral:misc_RNA from 1 species
UACGUACUGGGCGAACGUUAUUCGGAAUCACUGGGCUUAAAGGGUGCGUAGGCGGUUCGGCAAGUCAGGUGUGAAAUCCCCCGGCCCAACCGGGGAACUGCGCUUGAAACUUCCGAACUUGAGUACGAUAGGGGUGCGCGGAACUUCCAGUGGAGCGGUGAAAUGUGUUGAUAUUGGAAGGAACGCCGGUGGCGAAAGCGGCGCACUGGGUCGUAACUGACGCUGAGGCACGAAAGCCAGGGGAGCGAACGGG